rnacentral:ncRNA from 1 species
ACUAAUGCAUCCAACGAGUUUACAACCUUGGCCGGCAGGUCUAGGUAAUCUUUGAGUAUGCACCGUGAUGGGGAUAGAUUAUUGCAAUUAUUAAUCUUCAUC